AUUAUGAAACAGCUAUUUGUUUUGAGAAAUUACUAACGAUGGGUGUAUUUUGAUCUCAGUUUUCUAACAGAAACACAGGAGAGUGAGAAUGGCAGCAGGGUAGGAGAUUGUUACAACUGAGGUAAUCCUUACUUGCAAAUUUCUUCUGCCUUUUGAUCUGUCAGCAAGUCCCUCUUCACAGCAGAUGCAAUUUCCAAUAUGUUAACAGCAACAGAUCUCUGCAGAAGUUGAAAAUGAGCAGUACUGACAGACUAAUCUGUGAAUUUGAAGAAAGAUGUCUUGGAAAUUUGGGGCCCAAAAGGUACAAGUAAAAAGAAACAGUGAAAAAAUUACAAGAAUAUUUAAUUUACAAGUAUGUUUAUCAGUAUGUAAAAUGUAUAGUAAAUAGAGUUUUGGGCAGAGCUCUUGGAAGAAAGAUAGAUAUUUUCUUUAUAGUAUCAUAGCAACCCACCCUCACAAUAAACUCUCCAGCCUCUGUUCUAAGAAGCUCAAGAGUUUGCCAGAACAGAAGAACAUCGUUUUUAUUUUUAGUAGAAAAUACAGAUCUGUUAUUAGCAGCAGCAAAAUGUGGUAUGUCUUAUAGGAACUUUGCAAACAGCCAUACACAUAACAGUCUGUUUUUUACUUUUACCACGGAUACUUUUCCUCUCAAAAUCAAGAUGUUAUGUAAAGAACGUCUUUCAUGAUUUGAUGCUCCAGGCACAGAGCUGAAGUUGUAGAUUUCUCCUCCUUCUCCCCUCCUAUCUAAUGUUUUUUUCUCUCCUCUUCAUCCUCCAAAAAGAAAAAUAAGACUUGAUGGAGCAUUCAGUUGUUGUUACUUUUUUUUGGUAGAAACGCUCUGUUAGGACCAUGGAGAAGAUUGCCCAGCAUAUCUGAAGGCAUUAUUUUAUGCCAGUCAUCUGCAAGGCAAAGAAUCAAAAGUCAAGGAAUUGGAUCCAAAACACCUCCUUGCCUUUGGCAUAAGCUCUAUGAUAUCAUGUCCGAAGCACAGCUUAGAGACUGCCACAUGGCACUCUUUUAUAGCAGCACUGAUCUAAUCUGAAUUAGUAAACAAAAUGUCUACUGAAUUUUUCUACUGAAUUCAUGGUACUGAUUAUAGUAAUCACUUUGCUACACCAUUGUAAACAGCUUCCAUUUAUUCACAGAUC
rnacentral:lncRNA from 1 species